AGCGGCAGCAACAACACUUGAUAGGAAUGCUAUGUGACUAAUACUUUUAAAUUGCUUGUUUUUUUCCUUGUUCUUUUCUUGCCUUCUCUUUUGUUCUUAUUGUUUUAAAAAGGUCAAAAGAUCAUUUAAGCCCCUCAAAUAUUUUAAAAUAGUUAAUUGGAAUCUUAAACUAAGUUAUUGGGCCCUAAUAUUUUUAAAUAGUCUAAUAUAAAUCUUAGAAUUAUUAAAAAUAACGCAAUUGCUUAAUUUCGGGUCACGUGAUGGUGUUUCAGAACAUGAUGUCUUCCUUUCCACCCAGCUUGAGUAUGGCGAAUAAGGGGAAGAACAUAGAUGGCCUUGUCAACCACACCACUUUGAGGAUUGUGAAGUACUACUACCUGAAACGGUUUGUGGAAAAGACGAGUCAUUUGAUGAAUGAAGCUCUGCAAAUGAUGGUUCCAUGUUUUAUUACUGUUCUGGUUUCCAAGCUGUAUUGCCGGCUGUGGGGAUUUGUUGCAAAGUUAGUGUUUUUGAAUUUGGAAACUCCACUUUGGCUGGGCACCAUUAUCAUAUUAAGAAAAAUGCGAGGUUAAGUUACAUUAUUACAAAGCAGAAUAUGAUUUUUAUCAUGAUUUGGUGAACACUCUACAGGUAAUACCAUUCAUUUCAGACAAGUUCAAGUUUCCUCUUAUGGUAAUCUAUUAAUGAAAAAAAAAAAAUUGUUCUUCUUCUGUGAAA